rnacentral:tRNA from 1 species
AGGGGUGUAGCUCAGUGGUAGAGCGCAUGCUUAGCAUGCAUGAGGUCCUGGGUUCAAUCCCCAGUAUCUCCA